ACCUCAAUAAAAUAGGGAAUAAAUGUUAAUCAAUAAAAUCAUCCGAAAUCAAACAAGGUAAAGAAGAUGAUAACCGAACCAGAGAGAGAAACAGUGAAGUUGAAAAUGUGGAAAAUAUCUUCUUGUCUUUGUUCUAGAGUCUUCUGCAGUAUUUAUAUUUACAAAACAAUAUUACAAGUAAAUGAGAAGUAAUAAAUGUGUAUGAAAACUAUUUGGGCCAAGUCUUAUUAUUAGUUGGGUCGUCCGAAUAAGCAACAUUAUUGUGUGGCCCGGAUAUCCUAACACCCCCAUCAAGCUGGAGGGUGUGAAGACUCCAAGCAUGGGAAGGCAGCAGCGGUGAGCAGGUCCAGGCAGAGAUUUGGUUAAAAUAUCUGCUAACUGAUUUGCACUGACAACAUAGUGAAAAGAAAUUAGGUUAGAAUGAAGGCAGUCACGAACGUAAUGACAAUCAAUUUCAAUAUGCUUCAUGCGUUCAUGAAAAACAGGAUUCUUCAUGAUACUCAAAGCAGCUUGACUAUCGCAAUAUAUAGGAACAAGAUCAGAGACAAUAACACCAAAAUCACAUAGUAGGCGAAUAAGCCAAAUAACCUCAGCGACAAUCUUACGAAGAGCCUGAUACUCAGCCUCAGUAGAUGAGAGUGAAAUGGUAGGCUACUUCUUACUUUUUCAAGAAAUAGGACUACCACCCAGAGUGAUAAAGAAACCAGUAACAAAGCGACGAGUGUCACGACAGGUAGCCCAAUCAGAAUCAGAAUAUCCCAUCAAUGAAAAAUCAGAAGCAUUGGAUAACAAAAUACCCUGUGUCGGAUUGUUCAUGAGAUAACGUAACACAUGAAUGGUAGCUAACAUAUGAGGAACCUAUGGAUGUUGUAAAAAUUGACUUAAGUGUUGGACAGAAAAGAAUAUGUCAGGCCCUGUAUGUUGUAAGAAAUUGAGUUUGCCAACCAAAUGCCUAUAGGAGCUGGGAUCAGUCAAAGAAAAACCCAUGUCUGUAACAAGUUUGCUGGAACAGUCCAAAGGAGUACUCACAGGAGAAAACUGAUAACAAUUAUAUUCAUGAAGUAAGUCAAGAGUAAACUUAUGUUGACUGACAAUAUAACCCUGUGCAUAUUUGAAGACUUUCAAGCCAAGGAAGUAAUGGAUAGCACCAAGAUCCUUGAUUUUAAAUUGACCAUCAAGAAAAAUCUUUAAAUAUUCUAAUCCAGCUAAAUCAUCCGAAUCCAACAAUAUAUCAUCAACAUAAAUAGCCAAUACAAUCUGCGAACUGGAAGGACUUUUUGUAAAUAAUGAAUAAUUAUUCUUACUAGAGGUAUAGCCAUGAGAAAUAAGAUCUGUGGACAGUUUAAAAAACCAUUGACGAGAUGCUUGACGAAGACCAUAAAGAGAUUUCUUAAGGAGGCAUACCAAAGGGACAUCAGAAGAAGAAGUAACUUCAAGACCAAGAGGUAAUUUCAUAUAAACCUCCUCAAGAAGAUCACCAUGAAGAAAAGUAUUAUUAACAUCUAACUGAAACAAUGUCCAUACCUUCUUAGAAGCAAUAGUAAGGAGACAUUUAAUAGUAGUUAGCUUAACUACAGGGGAAAAAGUUUAGUAAAAUCGACUCCCUCCUUUUGAGUAUCACCACGAAUAACCAAAUGAGCUUUAUAUCGCUCAAUGGAUCCAUCAAAUCACUGUUUGAUCUUGUAAACCCAUUUGCAAGAAAUGACUUUCUUAUGAGGAGGGAGUGGGACUAUGUCCCAAGUAUUAUUAGCCUUUAGGGCCUGAAACUCCUUGACCAUAGCUUCCUGCCAAUCCAGAUGGCUAGCAGUCUGAUGGUAAAAUUGUGGUUCAUGAUUGUGAAGCUCAACAUGUGAGAUCUUGAAUGUAGUAGAUUCAAGGAAUGCAUGAUGGGAAGAUGAACAAACAUAAUCUUUAAGAUAAAAAGGUUUAUGACUCUGUCGAGUAGAAUGUCUAGAAGUUAAAAUAUGGGAAGCAACGAUGGGUGAAGUAGAGACAGAAGAAGGAGGAGGAACAGCUAAAAGAGCAGAAUUAGGAGCAAAAACUAGAGAAAAAGGCACUGAAUUAGUAGAACUGGGAGAAAUAAAAGAAUGGGGAGUUGAUGGGGAGUCUUCAGAGAAGGUAGAAUAAGAAAGUGGAAAUAAAAAAGGGGUAGAGGAAGGGUAAGAUAAGAUGUGUUUAUGGAAUACUAUAUCCCGAGAAUAGAAAAUCAAAUCAGUGGACAAAUUCAAUAGUUUGUAACCUUUCUUGCCAAACGGAUACCCCAAAAAUAUAGAAGAAAUUUCCCUUGAUUGAAACUUGUUUCAACUAAUUUUAGGUGAGGUAGCAAAGCACAAACAACGAAAUGAUCUCAAAUGGUCAUAAGAAGGAGGGGACUGAUGUAAUUUCUCAAAAAGUGAUAUAUUAUGUAGUAAAGGAGAAAGAAAUCUGUUAAUCAAGUAUGUGACUGUUAAGACACAGUCACCCCAAUACUUCAAGGGUAACUUAGAUUGAAAAAGUAAGGAUCUUGAAGUUUCAAGAAGAUGCUUAUAUUUUCUUUCCACUACACCAUUUUGUUGAGGCAUAUGCGGAAUGGAAGUUUGAUGCAAUAUACCAUUUUUAGCCAAGUAUUUAGAUGCUUCAUGACUGCCCCCCAACUCAAAAGCAUUAUCGAACUUAAGAAUUUGGAUGUGUGUUUUAAAAUAGAUCUUAACCAUGAAAAUAAAUGCCUUUAAAAUGGAGAAAGUAUUAGCCUUGGAAGAUAGAAGAUGGGUCCAAGUGGCUCUAGUAUAAUCGUCCACUAAGGUAAUAAAAUAUCUAUAAUCAUUGUAAGUGGCAGUAUUAUAGGAGCCCCAAGUGUCAACAUGAACCAAUUAAAAUGGUUUAGUAGAAUAAAUGGAGCUAUCUGGGAAGGACAGUCUUUCUUACCUAGCCAUAGGAAAUAUGGUGCACAAGAAAGAUUAUUUGGAAGACAAUUUACUAGAUAAAUGUGGGAUGGAGUGCAUUCUAUGAAACGACAUGUGGCCAAGUAUUUGAUGCCAAAACAAAUCAUUUUUAUUAAUAGAAGAUGGCAAAUUACAAGGGGUAAUAGAAAAAACAGUAUCAAAAUUAGAAGUAUUACAAGUAAAGGAACUAGCAGAAUUAGGUAAAGGUACAGUAAUAGACUCAGAUGGAAAAAUAUUAGCAGGAGCAGAUGUAGUAACAGAAAUAGUAGGCGGGAGUGAUGAUGUUUCAGCGGAGGGAUCUAGAGAUGUAUUUGGGGAGGAUAAGUUCUCUUGGCUGAGGAAAUAUAAACCUCUUGCAGCUUUACCAAAUUCCAAUGGCCUCUUCAGAGAAGGGGCCUGUAAGAAAUAAUUUAUUUUGGUAAAGAUUAUAUAACAGUCAAAUUGAUCAAUGAGUUGAAAGAUGGAAAUUAAAUUGAAUUGAAAUGAAGGAAUAAGUAACACAUUAUGUAGAAUCAUAUCAGACCUAAGAAAUAAAGAACCAGUGGAGAUAACCCUAACUUGUAUCCAUUGGGAAGAGUAAUAAGAAAAGAAAUGGGAAUUGGUUGAAGAUUAUGUAGUAAAUGUUUGUGAGGAGUCAUGUGGUUAGUUUCUCCAGAAUCUAAAAUCCAAGAAUGCAUACCUAAUUAGGAACUCGCACACAUAUGAAAACCAACAGAAUUUUCCACAGGGCUACUAAAAACACUAUUAAUACAUACCUGCAAAAUUUGCAAAACCAAAAAAUUUUACAUCUGGUUGUUCAGACAAGUGAUUAUGUUCGAAUGAAGCUAUCAGUUGUGGAUAAGUAUCACUGUGAGACCCAUAAGAAGGAAGAAUAUGGGAGGAAGAGUUGUUCUUUGUAGAAUUAGAAGAAGACAGAUCAGUUUGCACACAUGCUGCAGAUUUCGUACCUUUGUUGAACUGAUAAUCUGCAGGGUAACUAUGUAGUUUGUGACAUUUGCUCAUGAUAUGUCCUAAGUUUUUGCAAUAUCUACAAAUCAAGGUAUUGGUGGGUGGCUGCUUGGACUCAAAAUUAAUCCUUUGGGGAUAAGUCCUACCACCUCCAUGAGACAUAGGGAGAAAAUGCCCGGGAGGUGAAUAUGAAGGCCCAGAAGAAUCAUAAUAAAUCCCUUUCUGAGAAUAAGGCCUUUCUUAAAACUCAAAAUAGACCCUGAAAGAGUAAUAUUUACCAACAUUUUGAGAAGUUCCCUGAGAUUCUCUUAAAGUUGUCAUUAUAUCUAGAUGAGGCAUAGAAGAACAUGGAUUCAGUGAUUAGAUUAGAAGGAAUGGAAUUUUGCUUUUGCUUUUCAUCAUGAUGAACCAUGGAAUAAGCCUUACUAAGGCUGGGAAGUAGAUUCAUCAUGAGAAUGUUACUUUUGCAAGUAGAGUAGGGUUCAUUUAAUCCACUAAGAAACUGGAACAAUUUUUGUUCCUCAAGAAAUUUGGGUAAAGCACCACAGGUGCAAGUGGGACCUACAUAUGUUGUGUUUAGCUCAUCCCAAAGUCCCCUAAGUUAUGUAAAAUACGUAGCUAUAUCUGAAGAACCCUGAGUGGUGGAAACUAGUUCACGUUGAAUUUGAAUAUAUUUGGACCCAUUAGAUUGUCCAAAUCGUUCAUUUAGAUCCUCCCAAAUCUCUUGUGCAGUAUUAAAAUCAAUAACACUCAUAGCAACAUUCCUAGAUAAUGAGUUAGUUAUCCAAGCUAUAACCAUAUCAUUACAUCUUUCCCAAUAUUGAUAGUAAGGAGACUCAGGUACAGGCCUAGGAUUUCUACCAGUGAUAAGGCCUAGUUUAUUCUUAGCUGAAAGUGAAAUCAACAUACUUUUCCGCCAGCUAACAAAAUCAGUUCCAUCAAAUGGUGAAACAGUAAGUUGGAUACCAGGACUGUCAGCUAAAUGUAUAUAAAACGGAUGACAUUGAUAAAUAGUGAAGGGAGUAAACCCUUCAGUAGAGGUAGGAGCAUUAUGAACAAAAAUAGACGAAUUGCCACUCAUAAUUCCAUAAGGAAUUCAAUAAAUCAGUAGAUUUGAGACCUAUGUUAGCGAAGGAAAGGUGUUACCGUUCUUCUUCCAAAACCUGAAGAAGACUAGGUCUUGCUCAACAAUGGGAUCCGUCAAAUUCCCCUCGAGAACGACACGAAUCGCAAGAAUAUUAAUUCGCCGCAACAAAUACAACAAGUGUAUGUCAAAUUCCCCUCGAGAGCGGCACAAAUCACACUAUUACUGGUUCUCCGCAAAAAAUACAACCACCACAACAACAUAAAGAAAAUAGUCCAACUAAUCCAUCAUUGUAUACAACCGCCAAAAGAAACUCUAGCGAAGUGAAAUUCCAGCGAUGUGAAAUGAAAAUUUCAACUCAAAUCCUCAAAAAAAUCAAUGAUAGAGGAGAGGAAAUGAUUGGAGGGUAAUACCGAUCGAAAGAGAAGAUGAAAUCGAGUUAAACACCUACUUUGAUACCAUGUUAAUCAAUAAAAUCAUCCGAAAUCGAACAAGAUAAAGAAGAUGAUAACCGAACUAGAGAGAGAAACAACGAAAUUGAAAAUGUGGAAAAUAUCUUCUUGUCUUUGUUCUAGAGUCUUCUGCAAUAUUUAUAUUUACAACAACAAUAUUACAAGCAAAUGAGAAGUAAUAAAUGUGUGUGAAAACUAUUU
rnacentral:lncRNA from 1 species